GCUGGCGACCGGCCCUCGGGUGCGUAACACGUAUACAAUCUGCCUUUUACAGGGGGAUAGCCUUUCGAAAGAGAGAUUAAUACCCCAUAAUAGUUGUUCAGGCAUCUGAAUAAUUUGAAAGCUCCGGCGGUAAAAGAUGAGUAUGCGUCUGAUUAGCUAGUAGGUGAGGUAACGGCUCACCUAGGCCACGAUCAGUAGGGGAUCUGAGAGGACUACCCCUCACACGGAUACUGAGACACGGAUCCGACUCCUACGGGAGGCAGCAGUAAGGAAUAUUGGACAAUGCCCGCAAGGGUGAUCCAGCCAUGCCGCGUGCAGGAAGACGGCCCUAUGGGUUGUAAACUGCUUUUAUACAAGAGAAAACCUCCUUACGUGUAGGGAGCUGAUAGUAUUGUAGGAAUAAGCAUCGGCUAACUUCGUGCCAGCAGCCGCGGUAAGACGAAGGAUGCAAGCGUUAUCCGGAUUCAUUGGGUUUAAAGGGAGCGUAGGCGGUCUUAUAAGUCAGUGGUGAAAGCUCUUCGCUUAACGAAGAAAUUGCCAUUGAUACUGUAGGACUUGAGUACAGUUGCUGUGGGCGGAAUAUGACAUGUAGUGGUGAAAUACAUAGAGAUGUCAU
rnacentral:rRNA from 1 species